rnacentral:lncRNA from 1 species
AAUAGUCAUUUUAAAACAUCUCCUGUAUUUUAUUGAUUUGUCUUUUGUUUUAUUGGUGUGGAUGGAUAUGUCAAAACAUGCAAGUUUAUAAUGUUUUUAUGUCUGAGUACCCAUAUAUUUUUAUGAUUACUAUAUGUAACUUUUUUUUCAUAAUAUUUUGCUUUAUUUAUUUUUAGCAUUUAUUAUGAGAAUUCUAGUCGUCAUCUGCAAUGAACAUACAAGCACUGGUCACUUUAUAUGUUUUAUUAUGUUAUUCUUCACAUAGGAGGUAACUCCUGCAUUCAUGGCACAAUUUGUGAUAAGAUUAUAUUGUAAAAAUGCUUACAACAAUGAAAAAACUUAAGGAGAUUUUUGAAUUAACAAAAAUGUCUAUUAUUAUUUUAAAGGACAAACAAUUUUGUGAUAAUUUAUUGAAAUAUUUGACAUUAUUUUAUCAAAAUUAAAAUAUGAUAUUU